CCAACAGGGAUUGCCCUAGUAACGGCGAGUGAAGCGGCAACAGCUCAAAUUUGAAAUCUGGCGUAAGCCCGAGUUGUAAUUUGUAGAGGAUGCUUCUGGGUAGCGGCCGGUCUAAGUUCCUUGGAACAGGACGUCAUAGAGGGUGAGAAUCCCGUAUGUGACUGGCUUGCACCCUCCACGUAGCUCCUUCGACGAGUCGAGUUGUUUGGGAAUGCAGCUCUAAAUGGGAGGUAAAUUUCUUCUAAAGCUAAAUACCGGCCAGAGACCGAUAGCGCACAAGUAGAGUGAUCGAAAGAUGAAAAGCACUUUGGAAAGAGAGUUAAAAAGCACGUGAAAUUGUUGAAAGGGAAGCGCCCGCAACCAGACUUUGCGGCGGUGUUCGGCUGGUCUUCUGACCGGUUUACUCGCCGCCGUGAGGCCAUCAUCGUCUGGGACCGCUGGAUAAGACCUGAGGAAUGUAGCUCCCUUCGGGGUGUGUUAUAGCCUCUGGUGAUGCAGCGCGUCUCGGGCGAGGUCCGCGCUUCGGCAAGGAUGAUGGCGUAAUGGUUGUCGGCGGCCCGUCUUGAAACACGGACCAAGGAGUCUAACAUCUAUGCGAGUGUUCGGGUGUCAAACCCCUACGCGUAAUGAAAGUGAACGGAGGUGGGAACUUUUUGUGCACCAUCGACCGAUCCUGAUGUCCUCGGAUGGAUUUGAGUAAGAGCAUAGCUGUUGGGACCCGAAAGAUGGUGAACUAUGCCUGAAUAGGGUGAAGCCAGAGGAAACUCUGGUGGAGGCUCGCAGCGGUUCUGACGUGCAAAUCGAUCGUCAAAUUUGGGUAUAGGGGCGAAAGACUAAUCGA
rnacentral:rRNA from 1 species